AACGUAGGAGACAAACGUUAUCCGGAGUUACUGGGCGUAAAGGGCGUGUAGGUGGUUGUAUAAGUCUGGCGUGAAAUUUUUCGGCUUAACCGGGAAAGGUCGUCGGAUACUGCACAACUAGAGGACGGUAGAGGCGUGUGGAAUUCCGGGUGUAGUGGUGAAAUGCGUAGAGAUCCGGAGGAACACCAGUGGCGAAGGCGACACGCUGGGCCGUACCUGACACUGAUGCGCGACAGCAUGGGGAGCAAACAGG
rnacentral:rRNA from 1 species